UACGGGAGGCAGCAGUGGGGAAUAUUGCACAAUGGGCGCAAGCCUGAUGCAGCCAUGCCGCGUGUAUGAAGAAGGCCUUCGGGUUGUAAAGUACUUUCAGUCGUGAGGAAGGUGUUAAGGUUAAUAACCUUAGCAAUUGACGUUAGCGACAGAAGAAGCACCGGCUAACUCCGUGCCAGCAGCCGCGGUAAUACGGAGGGUGCGAGCGUUAAUCGGAAUUACUGGGCGUAAAGGGCACGCAGGCGGUUAAUUAAGUUGGAUGUGAAAUCCCCGGGCUUAACCUGGGAAUGGCAUUCAAGACUGGUUAGCUAGAGUCUUGUAGAGGGGGUAGAAUUCCAUGUGUAGCGGUGAAAUGCGUAGAGAUGUGGAGGAAAUACCGGUGGCGAAAGGCGGCCCCUGGACAAAAGACUGACGCUCAUGUGCGAAAGCGUGGGGAGCAAACAAGAUUAGAUACC
rnacentral:rRNA from 1 species